GGUGUAGUGGUCAAGCAUGCAGGCCUUUGGAGCCUGCGACGGCGGUUCGAAUCCGCCCG
rnacentral:tRNA from 1 species